AUUGAACGCUGGCGGCAGGCCUAACACAUGCAAGUCGAGCGGAUGAAGGGAGCUUGCUCCUGGAUUCAGCGGCGGACGGGUGAGUAAUGCCUAGGAAUCUGCCUCGUAGUGGGGGAUAACGUCCGGAAACGGGCGCUAAUACCGCAUGCUUGCUGAUGGAGAAAGUGGGGGAUCUUCGGACCUCACGCUAUCAGAUGAGUCUAGGUCGGAUUAGCUAGUUGGUGGGGUAAAGGCCUAGCAAGGCGACGAUCCGUAACUGGUCUGAGAGGAUGAUCAGUCACACUGGAACGGAGACACGGUCCAGACUCCUACGGGAGGCAGCAGUGGGCAAUAUUGGACAAUGGGCGAAAGCCUGAUCCAGCCAUGCCGCGUGUGUGAAGAAGGUCUUCGGAUUGUAAAGCACUUUAAGUUGGGAGGAAGGGCAGUAAGUUAAUACCUUGCUGUUUUGACGUUACCAACAGAAUAAGCACCGGCUAACUUCGUG
rnacentral:rRNA from 1 species